rnacentral:misc_RNA from 1 species
GAUGAAGAACGUAGCAAAUCGCGAUAUGUAAUGUGAUCUGCCUAUAGUGAAUCAUCAAAUCUUUGAACGCAUCUUGCACCUUAUGGUAUUCCAUAAGGUACGUCUGUUUCAGUACCACUCAUAAAUCUCUCAAAUUAAUUAUUUUAUUAUGAUUAUAUUUUGAUGAGAAAAAUGUUUACUGGUUCUGGUGGUCUCUCUCUUUUGACUACUCUCAACCUAAAUAUUAGGCUCUGACUUUUGGGUUUUCUCUCAAAAGUUAGGCUUUAAUAGAAUUUCAUUUUUUUCUAUAAGGUUAUUUUGCCAAAAAUUUUUUUAAAUCUUGGCCUGAAAUCAGAUGGGACUACCCGCUGAACUUAAGCAUAUCAAUAAGCGGAGGA